UACCAUAAUUUGGGAAAUUGCCAGCGCGUUUCACGCUUGGGAGCACGCACGGUGUAGGCGUCCAAAAUGACAGCGUAAAAAUGACACAGCUCACUCCUGUCUGUGUUUUGCGAGCGUGGGGAGCGAGUAUCAAGAAAGGAAGAGAGGAGGGUCGAUCCCAAGGGUGGUGGCGGCGGCGGCGGCGGCGGUGGGAGUGCCGCGAGCACGAAGCAUAGGGCAGGGCUCGAGGUGGAUAGUAGGUUGUGGCAGAGGGCGGCGGCCGCAGACCGUCGCGCAACCGCGGCGGCGCCGGUGCGAUGAACGCCACCAGGAGCAGCGGCAGCGCAACCCCGCGGUCGCGGAGGCGGUGUCCCGAGGCCGGCUUCCCUAGGGGCGCGACCUCCUGCCGACGUGCCAGCGAGUGCCGUAUCCCUCGCUCCGUCAGCUACUGGACUGUCUGGAGUAGUAACAGCCUCGGCCCCACCGGCCUAGGAUUAAAGAAGUGAAGGAAGGAAACGGUACAAGGAGGUGGGACGUCCCUCCUUCAACCAAUGUUAAAAACAAGCAUUCCACGUCGUCCGUGUUUUUAGAGAGAGAGAGAGAGAGAUUAGAUCGGUAGUUCUCAAGCCACUCAAUGACAGUUCAGACAUAAGUGAGAGCUACUCAAGUACUCUUUCGCUGGUACUUUAGUCUUCAUAUGACGAUCCAAGAAGUGAACUGACCUAACAUCCACCGGAACACACGAGAGCAAAGCAAAAGUCGACUCACGAGAAAAACAGUCGACGAGACGAACGGCUCCAAACGGGAACGAGAGGAUUUAGGGGAUAAUGAGUGUUUAAAAGUACAAGUCAUGCACAAAGUCAAAGUAAAGAACUAAAUAAAGGGACGAACGUAAAUAUAGUAGAUAGAGUGAAGUCAAAGUGGGAGAAACUGACGAUGUGACUUGUGUACAUAUAGUGUGACUACAUGAAUUCUAAGUGCAUAAAUUUAUACACACCAGACCAAUACACAUAGUGUGCAGAAAAUGGUAAAGUAAAAGUGUAAACUAAGGAAAGUAAAGGUCACACUAUGUAUUUACUAACCCCGAAAGGUUAAACCACAACUUUAAAUUCGUCGGUGAAGUUAAAUCACGAUAAGCCGUGACUCUACGUUACAUUGGUUAAUGUCUCGAAAUUAAGUACCAUCUGCUUUUAGCGUCUUACCACGUACAACACUAAUUAGUUCAGUAACCGAAGGGUUGCUACAUAAUAACCCUGUGAACACAUCACAAAUUGUACGGGUACCCUUAGUUAGUACACUAGGACACCGAAAGCACAACAAGUGAAGUGGUGUAAACUACCUACAGGCCCUCACAAAGACCGAUCUACCCAUUAAAUAAGUAGGUAACAAGAACAAGAAUAAACAAAGAAUAUCACAACGAUUCACAUGAGUAUUAAUAAGUGUUAAUGUACAUUUAUACAAAACGGUAGGAAAUUCAAAUAGUAAAAAAGGGUGACUUUUGACAUCCCGUUAAUAUUACAACAGAAAACAUAAUCAAUACGCGAAUAGGACGAUACAUCCAUAUCCUCAAUGUAUAAAGCUUAAGCGCGCACAAUCAAUGUGUCCAUUCAAAACGGAAUGUUCAUUGUACGAAAGAUCUUAGAACGAAGGAAAAAUAGUCAAUAAAACGUGAGGCAGAGUGAUCUUAGAACGAAGGAAAAACAUUACUGAUGCAUAAAACGUGAGGCAGAGUGUGGAAGAAAAGAAAGUAACCUAGAAUGAGAGUUCAACAGGUUCCAUUACUAAAAGUCAUAGAGUGACGGGAAUCCUCCCCGAGUAGUGUAAACGAGGACUAAGGUACAACGGUAAAGAUAUGUAAUAAAAACCAAUCAGUUAAAAACAAGAAGACUGGUCACGGUGAUAACCGUUGAUAGAAGUCACGAAGAGUUUACUACUAUUAAUUUAUUUGGAGGGAACGUUUCUACCUUUUCUGGUAAAUUAACAAUUAAUCUUCAACCCUCUUAUAACAUUGGUAAGCGACCGUCCAACUAGUUUCUCAACAGUAGUACUAAUAAGCGAAUAAAAUUAUAGUUUGUAAAACUCCAUAUAGUUAGUACCAUUCAAAGAAUCGGAGAAGUGUAACGUGCGUAUUAUAGAAAACGAAAGGAUCCUUAUACUAUUUAGGUACUGAAUCCUAUUUGUGAUUAUACAACUCUAGGGAUGAAAAUGAUUAUAGGAUGAAGAUGACUACGGUGAAAGUUGACUAUAAAUAAGUACCGAAUUCUACUUGCUAUGUAAUACGUAACGUAUACUUGGUAUUAAAACGACGUCGAAAUCAACUAUUAGCUGUUGUUUUAUAAAGAUAUCAUUAAACAACUUAAGACCUCAUUCGUACUUUACGUAAACGUACUGGACUCUAAGCGGUUACACGAGGAUAAAAAGUUUAUCCGUCCUUACUUUUCCACCAAGUCUUAACUACCUAUAAGAGGGGGUACGAACAAAUGUACACCGGUACAAACAACGAAUAUAGAGGUAUGAAUACACAUAAUUAGUCUGUAAACGAGAAAAGACAAACAUCUGUUGACCUCACACAGGAAACGUAAGUGACGUGUAGUCACGUCAGGUUUAUAAUAUACGUUAGUUCUUUUUGCCUUUUAUAAUUUAUAAUGCUCAGUCUAUAGUCGACGACCACACUCCAUCACCCGUUUACCUCUUACCUCUGCUACUGCGGCGCCAGGUACCUCGACAAGCACUGCGUGCUAGUGCGCCGCUUCCUCGUUCGCCUAAGAGUCGACUGUACCAACGUCGACCUCCUUGUGGGGCGCACCAACUCGUCCCCGUGUGAAAACUCUCCAAGCACAUGAAACACUCGCGUAACCUGUACGACCUCUACCACUUAUAUAAGAUACGAUUUUACAAAGUAGAUCUACCCCGAUUGUUUGAUGGGUUAAGAAACUUCCUGCCAUCAUGAUCAUUAUUAGAAAGUCAGGUUUUUUGGUACAGAGCAUUACGAGGAGCGACGUCGUCUACGUCCUUGACCUUCUUUGUUACCUGCUCGGCAGCUCACUUGCCCCCGGGUUGUGGUGAAACGGACAGCUCCGGGUGACGAUGAUCAUGCUGAUGCUCACUUGACUUGGGCGACGAUGGUGAUGCUCACAAAGGAGACCGACUGACCGAUCCAAAGGAGCGGCGGCUUUACUUGUGCUGCUCGCUCCUGUGGUGGGCACCGGCGGCGGCGGCGGCGGCGGCGGCGAGGGUUUGGGUGCGCUCACUGCUACGGCUACCUCACUGGGCGGCGGCGUCAGGCGGGGAGGAGCCGGAGAAGGUGGUUACGUUCCUACUAUAGCAGAAGUGGGGGUAGUACCUGGCGGGGCUGGCUUAGGCAGGUUUCGCAAAGCUGGACGUAGAGCUGUCGGUGUUGUACCCUCGCCAGGUUGAAGAGCUAACGGCGGUACCGGCGCAGGAAGAGUGCCUGUUUGCCGCCCUACUCGAGUAGGACACGCUGGGAUAGUAGCCACUCGUCGCGGAGUACCGACAAGGCGGUCUCAAGCAUUCUUUUACGAAGUUGCCCUGACACGAGACGCGACGGUAACUGGUACUGGUGCACGUGCUUUCGACGGUGAGCUCGGGGAAGUUCCACCACGACUAGAGGAUAGAGCCUCCCCUAUUAGUUGUAUAGCACACACAAAUGAGGAGACUCUGAGCACAUACCCCACUAUAGUAAAGCUGUUGGCGAAGCAUAGUAGAAAGACUAAUACCAUAGGGACCGAACGAACAACCAUUACGUGAAAUGACCAACGACCUAUAAUAUCCGCGACCGUAUGAAUUCAAACUAAACCUACUCGUCUCGGAUCGACACUAGCUCCCCGGAGAAACAUGUUACUAAAAUCGGUACUCCUUAUAGUAAACGGUACCACAACGGUGUACCCACGAUACCUUCUGGUAACUGUACGCAUGUUAAGAACCCGAGGGAUUUGUCUAAGUUCCUUUCUCCUGUGAAUAUUCUGUAUGUGACCCUACGGAGCUCCUAACACUACUUUAUGAAGAUAGACACCUAACAGCACGGAUAUACCAAGUUGAAUUCAGCUACUUCAGGUCCUUUGAAACACUUUUGUCAAUAAAUUGAACGAUAGUAAGAAAGUUCUCAAAGAUAGGAGGUCCUUGUAGGUAACGACCGCCUACACUACCUUUACUACGUACGAUGUGUUCCCCCACCCCCCACCCCGGCACCCCCAUAACAUAUCGAGAAGAAAUACAACGACACGACUAGUACUCAAACAUGUGUACCCAUGAGUCGAUAAACCACGACUUCUAUGGGCUUUGACGAUAAGUCUACCUAUAGCCAAAGGACGAUAAGAGGACAGGUAUAGGUUUCCACAACGGUAAAUACGACACGCCGAACGAACGUGACUGAUACCGGAGGUUCUUCCUGCUACAAAUAUCGAAACCGUAACACUAGUACCUUUAACAGUCACCUUCUUUCUUUGAGCUGUGAAGGUCCAGACUUCUCUCGUAGGUAGAAUAAUGGGAUAACCUACUUUUUCAAUUCUGACUAGUCAACCAUUUAAACUAACUGUUCUUGUAAUUGCUAUACGUUGGUGUACUCGUUCUUCAUCGAGUAUACUAUUUCGAACGUUACACCAUAGAUGUCUAACUAACGUUCUCUUCCGGAGUUUACAGACUCUAAUAGUUUCAGGAUCUUCUAUGAUUCUUACGUCACUAGUUGUAUCUCGUGUUGAAACAAGAAUGUUUAGAUCCUUUAAAACAAUAACUACGCUUACACUUGUAGUUUCCUAACGAAGCCGAACAUUUCUUUACU
rnacentral:rRNA from 1 species